AUGGCUUCCAGACUCCUGUGCAGUCAUCCUCUUGCUGCUUGCCUAGGGCAAGGGCACCUUGUGCGAGAGGAUUGCCCAGAACUUAGGCCUCCAACAUUUCUCUAGUAGCCACUGCUUGCGGGAGAACAUCAAGGCCAACACCAGAGUUGGUGACAUGGCCAAGCAGUACAUAGAGAAAGGUCUUUUGGUUCCAGACCUGUGAUCACAUGCCUAAUGAUGUUGGAGUUGGAGAAUAGAUGUGGCAGCACUGCCUCCUAGAUGGCUUUCCUAGGACAUCAGGGCAAGCUGAUGUCCUGGACAAAAUCUGUGAAGUGAAUCUAGUGAUCACGUUAAACAUUCCAUUUGAAACACUUAAAGAUCCUCUCCUAGCGGAAGGGUAUAUAACCUGGAAUUUAAUCCACCUCGUAUAUGUGGAAUUGAUGACAUCGCUGGUGAACCAUUAGCCCAGCAUGAGGAUGAUAAACCCAAAGCAGUUGCUGCAAGGCUAAGACAGUACAAAGAUGUGGCAAAGCCAGUCACUGAAUUAUACAAAAGCCAAGGAGUGAUCGACGAAUUUUCUGGGAUAGAGGCUAACAAAAUCAAGCCCUGUGUUUACAUGCUUUUUUUGAACAAGAUCACAGCUAUUUAGUCGAAG
rnacentral:lncRNA from 1 species